CAAUAGCGUAUAUUAAAGUUGUUGCGGUUAAAAAGCUCGUAGUUGGAUUUCUGCCGAGGACGACCGGUCCGCCCUCUGGGUGAGUAUCUGGCUUGGCCUGGGCAUCUUCUUGGAGAACGUAGCUGCACUUGACUGUGUGGUGCGGUAUCCAGGACUUUUACUUUGAGGAAAUUAGAGUGUUUCAAGCAGGCAUACGCCUUGAAUACAUUAGCAUGGAAUAAUAAGAUAGGACCUCGGUUCUAUUUUGUUGGUUUCUAGAGCUGAGGUAAUGGUUAAUAGGGAUAAUUGGGGGCACUCGUAUCAUGACGUCAGAGGUGGAAUUCUUGGAUUGUCAUGCGACGAACUACUGCGAAAGCAUUUGCCAAGGAUGUUUUCAUUGAUCAAGAACGAAAGUAAGGGGAUCGAAGAUGAUCAGAUACCGU
rnacentral:rRNA from 1 species